UUGGAGGGGUUAAACUUGAUGGACUUUGUCUUUUUACAACCCGAUUUAACUAUGUACCCAUAGCUGAAUACAGUUGCCAGCCCUAUAGCAUCGACCCAUGUCCUGACGUUUUUUCCUUUUAUUCCAGAGAUCUAAUACCGCCUAACAUUUUACUCAGCGCCGAGGGACAUGUCAAAAUUGCUGAUUUCGGCCUAGUUUCAGAAGGGAUUUUAGGCAACAAGAAGAUGCAUAAUAUAGUAGGGACCCCCCUCUACAUGGCUCCAGAGGUCUAUUUAUAUUUUCUUUUAGCCUAGUCUAACACAAGGAGGGGAUCUCCUGCCUAAUGUUGCAAGACGUAUGUGAGAAUGAUGUACAAACAUUCCAGGAAUGCUUACCUAAGAAAUGUAAUUUUCAACAAAGAUGUUUUUGAUUUUCUGGAUGAGUGGAUAUGGCGCAGAAGUGGAUUGGUGGGCAUUUGCCAUUUUUCUAUCCAAAAUGGCCACCAGAAGAUCUCCAUUCUAUGAAGGCUUGUCACUGAUAACCUGAUCCAUUCUGUGAUCUUUGAGCAGCCUUCCAUUCCAGAUAAUAUCAGUGUUGAUCUGAAAAAGCUGCUACAGGAGCUUUUCGAAAAGAAUCCAAAGAAGCAUCUGGGCACGACAGGGGAUAUACGGAAACACCUGUUUUAUAGAUCCAUUGGCUGGACAGCAUUGGAGAGCAAGAAAUUCCACCACCUUUCCAGCCAAGAUCAAUACCACCAGUGGAUGUCAGUGCAGUCUGUGAAGAGCCACUGACAUUCUCAGAAGAGCCGGACUGCAUCAACACUCCAGGUGGUAUAAUAAUGAUUCAGGGUCUUUCAUUCCUGAGUCCCAGAUGGGAAAGAUCUGCGGGCCCCUUUUGCUUCCACCAUCUGUCAUCCCAAUAUUGGGCCCCCACCAUUGGCCCUCCUCUCCUCCGACCCCUGCUGUCAGCCUUCCAUACCU